CGAGUAAGCUGAAUGAUCGCAUCUACCAAAUGGUAGAUGAGGAAAGUCCGAGCUCCAUAGGGCAGGGUGCUGGGUAACUCCCAGUGGAGGCGACUCCAAGGAUAGUGCAACAGAAAGAUACCGCCUGCAUUUUGCAGGUAAGGGUGGAAAGGUGAGGUAAGAGCUCACCAGCAUCCAGGCGACUGGAUAGGCUAUGUAAACCCCACCUGGAGCAAGACCGAAUGGUGAUAUAAAAAAGUGGUUGCCCGCCACAUCUAGGUAAAGGUCGCUAGAGCCUACUGGCAACAGUAGUGCGUAGAUAGAUGAUCAUUCUCGACAGAACUCGGCUUACAGGUUUACUCGUCAC
rnacentral:RNase_P_RNA from 1 species